UGGGGAAUAUUGCGCAAUGGGGGCAACCCUGACGCAGCCAUGCCGCGUGAAUGAAGAAGGCCUUCGGGUUGUAAAGUUCUUUCGGUAGCGAGGAAGGCAUUUAGUUUAAUAGACUAGAUGAUUGACGUUAACUACAGAAGAAGCACCGGCUAACUCCGUGCCAGCAGCCGCGGUAAUACGGAGGGUGCGAGCGUUAAUCGGAAUAACUGGGCGUAAAGGGCACGCAGGCGGUGACUUAAGUGAGGUGUGAAGGCCCCGGGCUUAACCUGGGAAUUGCAUUUCAUACUGGGUCGCUAGAGUACUUUAGGGAGGGGUAGAAUUCCACGUGUAGCGGUGAAAUGCGUAGAGAUGUGGAGGAAUACCGAAGGCGAAGGCAGCCCCUUGGGAAUGUACUGACGCUCAUGUGCGAAAGCGUGGGGAGCAAACAGGAUUAGAUACCCUGGUAGUCCACGCUGUAAACGAUGUCGAUUUGGGGGUUGAACUUUAAGUUUGGCGCCCGUAGCUAACGUGAUAAAUCGACCGCCUGGGGAGUACGGCCGCAAGGUUA
rnacentral:rRNA from 1 species